AUUGAACGCUGGAGGCAGGCCUAACACAUGCAAGUCGAGCGAGCGGCGGACGGGUGCGUAAUGUAUGGGGACUGCCCGAUAGAGGGGGAUAACUACUGGAAACGGUGGCUACUACCGCAUAACAUCGGAUAACCAAUAUGUGAUUAGCUAGUAGGUGGGGUAAAGGCUCACCUAGUCGACGAUCUCUAGCUGGUCUGAGAGGGUGAGCAGCCACGCGGGUACUGGGACACGUCCCAGACUCAUACGGAGUCAGAUGUGGGGAAUAUUGCACAAUGGGCGCAAGCCUGAUGCAGCCAUUCCGCGUGUAUGAAGAAGGCCUUAGGGUUGUAAAGUACUUUCAGCGGUGAGGCGUUACCCGCAGAAGAAGCACCGGCUAACUUCGUGCCAGCAGCCGCGGUAAUUC
rnacentral:rRNA from 1 species